CAGUAGCCGCGGUAAUACGAAGGGUGCCAGCGUUAAUCGGAAUUACUGGGCGUAAAGCGUGCGUAGGCGGUGAGUUAAGUCUGCUGUGAAAUCCCCGGGCUCAACCUGGGAAUGGCAGUGGAUACUGGCUCGCUAGAGUGUGUCAGAGGAUGGUGGAAUUCCCGGUGUAGCGGUGAAAUGCGUAGAGAUCGGGAGGAACAUCAGUGGCGAAGGCGGCCAUCUGGGACAACACUGACGCUGAGGCACGAAAGCGUGGGGAGCAAACAGGAUUAGAUACCCCCGUAGUCCCUGUCUCUUAUAC
rnacentral:rRNA from 1 species